ACGGAGGAUGCGAGCGUUAUCCGGAUUUAUUGGGUUUAAAGGGUGCGUAGGUGGACUGUUUAGUCAGUGGUGAAAUGCUGAUGCUCAACGUUAGCAUUGCCGUUGAAACUGACAGUCUUGAGAGUGAUUGAGGCAGGCGGAAUGUGUGGUGUAGCGGAGGAAUGCAAAGAAAUCAGGAAGAACACCGAGGGCGAAGGCAGCUUGCAAAGCCACAACUGACACUGAAGCGCGAAAGCGUGGGGAUCAAACAG
rnacentral:rRNA from 1 species